AACGAACGCUGGCGGCAGGCUUAACACAUGCAAGUCGAGCGCAUCCUUCGGGGUGGGCGGCGGACGGGUGAGUAACGCGUGGGAACGUGCCCGCUUCUACGGAAUAGCCUCGGGAAACUGAGAGUAAUGCCGUAUACGCCCGCAAGGGGGAAGAUUUAUCGGAGGAGGUUCGGCCCGCGUUGGAUUAGGGAGUUGGUGGGGUAACGGCCUACCCAGCCGACGAUCCAUAGCGGGGUUGAGAGGAGGAUCAGCCAGACUGGGACUGAGCCCCGGCCCCGACGCCUACGGGAGGCAGCAGUGGGGAAUCUAGGACAAGGGGGGCAACCCUGAUCCAGCCAUGCCGCGUGAACGAUGAAGGCCUUAGGGUCGUAAAGAUCUUUCAGCUGGGAAGAUAAUGACGGUACCGGCAGAAGAAGCCCCGGCUAACUACGUG
rnacentral:rRNA from 1 species